rnacentral:rRNA from 1 species
GGCCAGACUCCUACGGGAGGCAGCAGUGGGGAAUAUUGCACAAUGGAGGAAACCCUGAUGCAGCGACGCCGCGUGAGUGAGGAAGUAUUUCGGUAUGUAAAGCUCUAUCAGCAGGGAAGAAAAUGACGGUACCUGACUAAGAAGCCCCGGCUAACUACGUGCCAGCAGCCGCGGUAAUACGUAGGGGGCAAGCGUUAUCCGGAUUUACUGGGUGUAAAGGGAGCGUAGACGGCAUGGCAAGUCAGAUGUGAAAGCCCGGGGCUCAACCCCGGGACUGCAUUUGAAACUGUCAGGCUGGAGUGCGGGAGAGGUAAGUGGAAUUCCUAGUGUAGCGGUGAAAUGCGUAGAUAUUAGGAGGGACACCAGUGGCGAAGGCGGCUUACUGGACUGUAACUGACGUUGAGGCUCGAAAGCGUGGGGAGCAAACAGGAUUAGAUACCCCAGUAU